rnacentral:lncRNA from 1 species
AAAAAAAAGAAAAUUUCUUCAAACAUUUUUUGAGAGGAUUAAUAUUCAACAGCAUAGUGAAUUGCUCUAAGAGAAAACAAAAAUUUUAAGUUCAUAGAAACAAUUCAUUAUUCUGUGUCAGAAACCUAUGCUGUGUCAACUAUUUAAUCACAAUCCAAAUUUAGAGCUGAAUCCAGCUUGAAUGUCGUGUCCAUACUUGCCCCAACCGUUCAGGGUUCAACCUCUGCGGUCGUAUAAAGCUACGCCCUGCGGAGCAUCUGGUUGAAAUUUGAAUAACUUUCUUAAACUAUCAUGGAUAUUGGCCAAACUU